GACGAACGCUGGCGGCAUGCUUAACACAUGCAAGUCGAACGGAAAGGCCCUGCUUUUGUGGGGUGCUCGAGUGGCGAACGGGUGAGUAACACGUGAGUAACCUGCCCUUGACUUUGGGAUAACUUCAGGAAACUGGGGCUAAUACCGGAUAGGAGCUCCUGCUGCAUGGUGGGGGUUGGAAAGUUUCGGCGGUUGGGGAUGGACUCGCGGCUUAUCAGCUUGUUGGUGGGGUAGUGGCUUACCAAGGCUUUGACGGGUAGCCGGCCUGAGAGGGUGACCGGCCACAUUGGGACUGAGAUACGGCCCAGACUCCUACGGGAGGCAGCAGUGGGGAAUAUUGCACAAUGGGCGGAAGCCUGAUGCAGCAACGCCGCGUGCGGGAUGACGGCCUUCGGGUUGUAAACCGUUUUCGCCUGUGACGAAGCGUGAGUGACGGUAAUGGGUAAAGAAGCACCGGCUAACUACGUG
rnacentral:rRNA from 1 species